UCCUAAUCUUACGGGGGAAGGCUCCCGAAUCCUAAAUCCUUAUUCCUCUUUUUUUUUGAGGCGGUUCGAAAUCCUGAUCUUAAGAGGUAAACUAUUUCCCUGUGAAAUAAUACGCGUAUAAUCUCGGUGGCUGUUUUCCGAGUGGGGUUUUUGGAGAUCGAACUCGAUCAAAUUGGUUCUCUGGCCAUGCCAUGGCUAGGGUUUAUGGGAGGGCCUGGGGCGAGCCACCUUGAAGAGGGAGCAAUUCCGAAUGCAAGCUUGUAUUGGGACCAAGCUAUAUCUCCAACAAAGGCCAGGAACGUACCUUGGACCAGUGUGUUUGGAAACCAUGACCACGCACCCUUUGAGCGGCCUGGAGUGGUUCUCAAGCACUAGAAUCCCUCCGCUUCUGUGUCCUGUUGCCAAUUCAUCAUACCCAGGCGAGGGCAAAUCUAUGAUUGAUUAUUAUUGCGCUGGUCUCGUUGAUGUUUAUAUUUUUGUUUAUUUUUGGCCGUUUAAUCUAGUUUACGUUUACAGAUUCAGAUUUACGACUUAUGAGUGAAUAGUGUCUCUUUGGUUAUGUGAUAUCCAAUUGCAAAAUUUGGGCACUAUUUUUGGUAGAAGAUACAUGAACAUGGAAUAGGUAUUCUGUCUUCAUAUGUGUUAAUUUGAUCAUGGUCGGGCUAUUGAAAUAUGUGUUAUUAUUAUACCCAAGUCUCUAAUGGGUCUUGCCCACCAUGUUGGGAGGGCUAUUUGAAAAGGGUAGAUUUGCAGAUAUGCUUGACCCAGUAGUGGUGGAUUGGCCUGUUAAAGAGGUUCUAGAAUUUGCUAAAUUAGCCCUAAAGUGUGCCGAUCAAAAAAAGGACAGGCCUGAUCUUGGGACAGUUAUUGUGCCAGUGCUCAACUGACUUAGAGAUCUAGGAAGAAAUGCUGAGAAACGCAGCAGUAGUGUCUAUACCAAAGCUCUGGACAUGGAAAUAGUGGCCAUAGUCGCAGUCACGGGCAAAUUAGCAGUUCUUACAGUGGCAGGCCCUUGCCACGCUCCUCAUUGUCAAGUGGAUAACAGGUUUAUGGCUUACCAAGUUACCAUAGACGUUAGAGUUGAUGCAUUUCCAUUUUUUGUCCAAUACAAAUCAGGAAGUGACAAGUAAGACUUACAAUCCUGGAAUGGAACGUAAAUCUGAUCCAGAAAAUGGCAGCGCAUGAUGAUCAAGAUCCAAAUCGGUGACGCCAAGAACUAAUACUGGAAAGCUAUUUGUAGAAAAAUAUGCGAUGGAAAUGGAUGAAACUGACUUCUAUCGUAAGGAAAAACUUGUUAAACAGGUAAAGAUGUAUUUCUUCAGCUCCUUUCAGUGCUUGCAAAAAGGUGUUUCUUUUGGAUAUUGUAUUUUGAAUAUCAUGGCCUUGCCAUUAUUGUGCUUUCAGCAUAACACAUAGCAACUUCAAUGAUGCCGUUUGAAUAGUUCAGAUAUAUUGCACAAUGACUUCCUUUCCUAUUCUGCAUCACCUCUUUUGUAACACUUGUAUGCUCCACAAUUUAACUUUGUCAUUUUGGUGCUUAGGUCCUAUUAAGUAUUAAGUAUAGUACACUAGCAGCCAAUUCAGGAACAAUAUAAUAAUAUAUUCAAGGUCCUCAAGCAAUGACAGUAUUGCCCUUAGCACGGUCAUCCAAGUGUACUUUUAUGUUUUUUCCGGGUUCCCAUGAACAGCUUAAUGUUGUCCUAGAGCUGGAAAAUCUGGUGUCCUUAAUUUGAAUUAUGAACGAGUUCAGGAAAAUAUGGCUCAUAUGGGGGAUGAUUUUGGAUUUGCUCAAUGGCAUAUGUUUGUACAAAUUGGAGCCUUGUUAUUGCAUAAUGAUUUUGAAGUUGGUCUUAUCAACGAUAAUUAUGAAUUCGAGAGGAACAUAUUAUGAAACUUGCAAUGGGUUGUUGCCCUUCGUAUGCCUAAGUUUAACCAUGGCCACAGUAAAUUUAUGUAAGUUUUUGAACAUUAUGCAAUAAACAAGGCUUUUGUUUGACGUGCUGUUGGGCAAUACUUCUUUACAUGUUGCUUUGCCCAAGUUUGACAUUUCUUUGCUUUUUUUGCGAUGUUUACGUGUGGAAGUCUUGGACGGUGUACUCAGUGCAAUUCUCGUUCGUGCAAGUGUACUUAUAUGCAAUUUUUGUGGGUUCCCGUGAACAGCUUAAUGUGCUUUAGCUGGAAAAUAUGGUGUCCGUAAUUUGAAUUAGAAACUAGUGCACAAAAAUAUGGUUCAAGUGGGAUGAUUUUGGAUUUGCUCAAUGGCAUAUGUUUAUACAAACAGUAGCCUCUUUAUUGCAUUAUAAUUUUCAAUUGGGUAUUAUCGACCACAGUUAUGAAUUUGAAAGGAAUAUUUAUGAACUGACAAUUGGUGGUUGCAAAGGCAUGCAUAAGUUUAAGCAUGACCAUGGUACAUUUAUGGAAGUUAUGAGCAUAUGCAAUAAAAGAGGCUUUUGUUUGUCUAGACAUGUGUCGUUGAUCGGAACUUUAGUACGUGUUCUCUUUGCUUUGCCCAAAUUUGGCAUUUCCUUCUUUGCGUUGCUUACAUGCGGAAGUCUUAGAUGGUGUAUUUGGCACAAUUCUUGGUCAUGCAGGUGUAUUUUUACACUUUUUUAUGUGGGUUCCCAUGAAUAGGUUAAUGUUGUGCUUUAGCUGGAAAUCUGGUGUUCGUAAUUUGAAUUGGGUACCAGUUUAUAAAAAUAUGGUUCAUGUGGACGAUGAUUUUGGAUUUGGUCAAUGACAUGUUUAUACAAACACUAGCCUCUUUAUUGCAUAAUGAUUCUCAAUUUGGGCUUGUCACCCAUGGAUAUGAAUUUGAAAGGAAUAUCUUACGAAACUAGCAAUGGGUUGUUACCCUUUGCAUACAGAAGUUAGCAUGACCACUGUACAUGUAUGGAAGUUUUGAACAUUAUGCAAUAAAAGAGGUUUUUGUUUGUCUAGAUGUGUCUUUGGAUAGAACUUAUGUACGUGCUCUCUUUGCUUUGUGCAAAUUAGACAUUUUUUUUUGACCUUGUUUACGUGUGGAAGUCUUGGACGGUGUAUUCGGUACAAUUCUUGGCCGUGCAAGUGUAAUUUGUUGCAUUGGGAACCAGUUUACAAAAAUAUGAUUCAUGUGAACGAUGAUUUUGGAUUUGGUCAAUGACAUGUUUAUACAAACACUAGCCUCUUUAGUGCAUAAUGGUUCUCAGUUUGGGCUUGUCACUCAUAGCUAUGAAUUUGAAAGGAAUAUCUUACGAAACUAGCAAUGGGUUGUUACCCUUUGCAUGCAUAAGUUUAAGCAUGACCAUAUAACAUGUAUGGAAGUUUUGAACAUUAUGCAAUAAAAGAGGCUUUUGUUUGUCUAAAUGUGUCUUUGUAUAGAACUUAUGUACGUGUUCUCUUUGCUUUGUGCAAAUUAGACAUUUCUUUUUUGCCUUGUUUAGAUGUGGAAGUCUUGGACGGUGUAUUCGGUACAAUUCUUGGUCGUGCAAGUGUAAUUUUUUGCAUUGGGAACCAGUUUACAAAAAUAUUAUUCAUGUGAACAAUGAUUUUGGAUUUGGCCAAUGACAUGUUUAUACAAACACUAGCCUCUUUAUUGCAUAAUGAUUCUCAAUUUGGGCUUGUUACCCAUAGCUAUGAAUUUGAAAGGAGUAUCUUAUGAAACUAACAAUGGGUUGUCCUUUGCAUGCAUAAGUUUAAGCAUGACGACAGUACAUGUAUGGAAGUUUCGAACAUUAUGCAAUAAAAGAGGCUUUUGUUUGUCUAGACAUGUGUCUUUGGGCAGGACUUAUGUACAUGUUCUCUUUGCUUUGCGCACAUUAGACAUUUCUUUUUUUGCCUUGUUUACAUGUGGAAGUCUUGGACGGCAUAUUCGGUACAAUUCUUGACGACUCUGUAGCUUCAUACACUGGGUAGUGCAUAGAGAGUUCAUAUGUUGGAAAAAUACUUUCCUGAUGCAGUUUAUGCAUGCGAAGUACAAUUAUGAUAUAACGACAAUUUAAAUGCUUCUGGAGCAUAAUCAACAAGAUACUCGCAUCAGUUUAUAUAUUAAUAUAUGUCCAAAUUGAAAGCAAUUAAUCUAUAAGCCUCUGUUUAUAAUGAGUGGUUUUGCAUAUUAUUUGGGGCAUAGCCUGAUACCAUGGAACUUAUGCUUCUCCAUUCUACAUGUUCGAAGCCCAGUUGAAAGAGUUCUGCCUGUCUCCUUAUGUACAUUUAUUUUCUGUCUUGUUCAAUUACAUUUUGUUUAUCUUCCAUCACUUUACUCUUGCAGUUUUGUUACAUAAUGUUUACUUGCAUAUUUGCAGAAAGACAAUAUAUGGAACCAAUGGUAGAAAGUUGUUCUUUCUAUAGCUAAUGCACAGUCCCAAUUCGGCGUACCUUAUUAGGCUGAUCCAGUGAAUACUAUCUAUUGGUCUGGUCCUGUGUUUGUUGUUGCAGUUAAUACAACUUUGUAGUUAAAGCUCGUGUUUCCAUUUUUCGGGGAUUUUAUUAUAUUCUUUGUUGGGAGAAAACAUAUCUUUCUUUUUUCCUUUCUAGUUAUUGUUUGUUUUAUAAUUAAUUUAUUUUCCUUGGCUGGCUGUAUUGGAAGUGAGUCCGUAGCUUGAUAACAAAUUAAAGUCUUCAGAUCAAACUUCAAAUGUUAAAAUAGCUAGUUAAGUUGGAUUGAUCGAGAAAUUUCAUAUGUCAUUGUUUCGUUCACCCUUUAGUCUUGAUAAUGAACCUUAAGUUGCUAUAAUUUCUUGUUGUAGGCUGCAGCAUGUCCCAACUCCCUUGUAAUACCCCUUGCUACUUGGACUUAAAUUGACCUUGCAGAUCAUUGAGCUUCCACAAUAUUUUGGAUAGGUGUUUAGUUGAUCAUAUUCUUUGGUUGAAGUCAUUGAAUCUGGAGUAUCCAUUGAACUAAUUCCUAUUAACUAAUUGGCUCAUUUUUUUUAACCUUUUCUUGGUGUCAUAAAAGACAGGCUUUGGAGAAAAUGAAUAAGGAUUUUAUAAGGGCAAUUAGUGAGACAAUUGCUUACACAAAGGUUUCGUGUCUAAUGCUCACUUCGUAAAUGCAUUAUGUGAAGAAAAUUGACGAGAAAGCAAUCAAUGAAGUAUUUUUGAAGUUGCUGGACAACUGCAUCAAAUGGUGCAAGUACUUGCGAAUACAGUUUGGAAGCGAUCACUAGGGACGGAAAACUUUUUCUAGUUUCACUAUACUUCCUCAUAUGGGGUGAAGCUGCGAAUGUCUGUUUCCUUCCUGAAUGCAUUUGCUACAUGUUUCACCAUGUAAGCAGGCCAUUGGUUCACACCUUUAAAUUGGGUUUUCGUUUACUAACUAAUAAUUUGUUAUUCUGGAUGAUGAAUGCUAUUUCUUUUCUUACUAUGUUUAGCUUAGCAUAUCUUCUUCUUGUUACCAUUUAUGAUUCUAUGUGAAGAAGCCUAUUGGCUAAGUUGACUGAUUUUGAGUUCUGUUACUAUGUAAAGUGCAUGAUUUGGUUCGGAUAAUAUACAUUUUCUCUAUAACAGGACAACCCUCUCGCAAUAUUUUGGCUUCGGUUUCUCUGGUUAAAUGCAUGGAUGUUGCUGGAGUGGUCAUUGGGUUGAUUGUCACUUUUUUUCGAUGGAAAAAGAAUUGGAUGCAAUAUUGGACCAUGGUUCCCCUACGCAAAUCAUCUGUCCUAUUUAUGAGACAAUGGUAGUGCUGCUAGAAACAAUGAUGGGAAAGUUGCACGUUCGGCAUGGAGGAAUUACGAUGAUUUCAAUGAAUAUUUCUGGUCACCUACUUGCUUUAAGUUGAGCUGGCCAAUGAGGAAAAAUUCACCAUUUUUGUUGAAUCCCAAAAAGCGAAGAAGGGUGAGUCAGUCUGGUGCUUUGUUUCUUAUUUAGUCUUUCUGUGAGUUGACAGAUUGGAAAAAACACUUUUGUUGAGCAUUUAACCCUUUUUCAUCUCUAUCGAAGUUUUCACCGUCCUUGGAUCUUCUUGGGCCUCUUGACUGUAAUAUUCCAGGUCAAAUUUAUGCUCACUGAUCUUACUUUUGCAUUGAUCUUGAAAAGAAACCUUUUUCUAUUCAAAAUACAAUGUUUUCCCUCCAUUUCUUUAUGGAAUGUAGGCUUUCACGAUCACAGCUUUCAAUACCAGCCACAUCAAUUUGGACACGUCUAAAUAUGUGCUUAGUAUUGGGCCGACGUUUGCUAUCAUGAACUUUGUUGAAAGCUGUUUAGACCUCUUGCUUAUGUUUGGGGCUUACUCAACUGCGGAGGACAUGGCUAUCACAAGGCUGAUUAUUAGGUUUCCUUGUAUGGCUCAGGCUCUGUCGGCGUGACAUUUAUUUAUGUGUAUGUUCUGCAGGAAACUCUUGAGACAUGAGUUCAUUCUAUUUUCAUAUAUACAUCCUUGUUCUGGGUGUUUAUGCAGCUUUGCGCUUAGUCCUUGCUUUGUUACUCAAGUUUCCUACUUGUCAUGCUCUAUCCGAGACGUCUGAUGAUCAACCAUUCUUCCAAAUUUUAAAGUGGAUUUAUCAGGAGCGGGACUGGGGUGUCUACCCCGAGAAUCAGCCCAUCAGGCACAAUCAUUAUCAUUUUUCAUCAUGAAUUUGAAGAAUAGCAGAGUUAGAUGUGGUGGUGCCGAUUUGUAGUCGGAGAUAUUAUUCUUGCAUUGGUGGUUUAUUUUUUUUGUUUUAUCUUUAUUAUUACGUUGAAAGCUUAUCUUUUUUAUUUAAAUGUCCACUCCAAGGAGUAGAUUGCUGGGCCCAGCCCAUAAUCAGCAGGUGUCGAAAAGUGAAGCCCAUAAUAAUGCAAGUUGUCGGGUCAAUCAAGAGGCACAUUAUGAUUGGACUUUUUUAAACAACAGUACUUGUGCACAUGGGCUUGGUUGCUGGAAAUUGGAAUGGGCUUCGUAGUAGAUUGGAUCAAUAAAUUAAUGCUUUCUAAGGCGUAAGCUAUAUAGGGAAACUAACUUAAGAAUUUGAUUCAUUGGGCCUUGAAAGCCCAAAGUCUUCGUGGGCCUUUCAGUCGUUUUUCUAUCCAAUGUUGGCUAGAGAUUUCAA